GGGAAUAUUGGACAAUGGGGGCAACCCUGAUCCAGCAAUUCUGUGUGCACGAAGAAGGUUUUCGGAUUGUAAAGUGCUUUCAGCAGGGAAGAAAAAAAUGACGGUACCUGCAGAAGAAGCGACGGCUAAAUACGUGCCAGCAGCCGCGGUAAUACGUAUGUCGCAAGCGUUAUCCGGAAUUAUUGGGCAUAAAGGGCAUCUAGGCGGCCAGAUAAGUCUGGGGUGAAAACUUGCGGCUCAACCGCAAGCCUGCCCUGGAAACUAUGUGGCUAGAGUACUGGAGAGGUGGACGGAACUGCACGAGUAGAGGUGAAAUUCGUAGAUAUGUGCAGGAAUGCCGAUGAUGAAGAUAGUUCACUGGACGGUAACUGACGCUGAAGUGCGAAAGCUAGGGGAGCAAACAGGA
rnacentral:misc_RNA from 1 species